rnacentral:rRNA from 1 species
GAUGGACGCUGGCGGCGUGCCUAAUACAUGCAAGUCGAGCGAACGGACGAGAAGCUUGCUUCUCUGAUGUUAGCGGCGGACGGGUGAGUAACACGUGGAUAACCUACCUAUAAGACUGGGAUAACUUCGGGAAACCGGAGCUAAUACCGGAUAAUAUUUUGAACCGCAUGGUUCAAAAGUGAAAGACGGUCUUGCUGUCACUUAUAGAUGGAUCCCCGCUGCAUUAGCUAGUUGGUAAGGUAACGGCUUACCAAGGCAACGAUGCAUAGCCGACCUGAGAGGGUGAUCGGCCACACUGGAACUGAGACACGGUCCAGACUCCUACGGGAGGCAGCAGUAGGGAAUCUUCCGCAAUGGGCGAAAGCCUGACGGAGCAACGCCGCGUGAGUGAUGAAGGUCUUCGGAUCGUAAAACUCUGUUAUUCGGGAAGAACAUAUGUGUAAGUAACUGUGCACAUCUUGACGGUAACUAAUCAGAAAGCCACGGCUAACUACGUG